rnacentral:rRNA from 1 species
UACGUAGGGUGCGAGCGUUAAUCGGAAUUACUGGGCGUAAAGCGUGCGCAGGCGGUUUUGUAAGCCAGAUGUGAAAGCCCCGGGCUUAACCUGGGAAUGGCAUUUGGGACUGCAAGGCUUGAGUUUGGCAGAGGAGACUGGAAUUCCUGGUGUAGCAGUGAAAUGCGUAGAUAUCAGGAGGAAUACCGAUGGCGAAGGCAGGUCUCUGGGCUGAUAACUGACGCUCAUGCACGAAAGCGUGGGGAGCAAACAGG